rnacentral:rRNA from 1 species
GUAGGUGGCAAGCGUUGUCCGGGAAUUAUUGGGGCGUAAAGCGCGCGCAGGCGGUUCUUUAAGUCUGAUGUGAAAGCCCACGGGCUCAACCGUGGAGGGUCAUUGGAAACUGGAGAACUUGAGUACAGAAGAGGAAAGCGGAAUUCCACGUGUAGCGGUGAAAUGCGUAGAGAUGUGGAGGAACACCAGUGGCGAAGGCGGCUUUCUGGUCUGUAACUGACGCUGAGGCGCGAAAGCGUGGGGAGCAAACAGGAUUAGAUACCCUGGUAGUCCACGCCGUAAACGAUGAGUGCUAAGUGUUAGGGGGUUUCCGCCCCCUAGUGCUGCAGCUAACGCAUUAAGCACUCCGCCUGGGGAGUACGGCCGCAAAGGCUGA